rnacentral:rRNA from 1 species
UGGGGAAUCUUCCGCAAUGGACGAAAGUCUGACGGAGCGACGCCGCGUGAGUGAUGAAGGCCCUUGGGUCGUAAAGCUCUGUCAUCAGGGACGAACGGUCACGUCAGGAAAUGGGCGUGAAUUGACGGUACCUGAGAAGGAAGCCACGGCUAACUACGUGCCAGCAGCCGCGGUAAUACGUAGGUGGCGAGCGUUGUCCGGAAUUAUUGGGCGUAAAGCGCGCGCAGGUGGGAUCUUAAGUCUGUUCUGAAAGUUCGGAGCUUAACUCCGUGAUGGGAUGGAAACUGAGAUUCUUGAGUAUCGGAGAGGAAAGCGGAAUUCCCCGUGUAGCGGUGAAAUGCGUAGAUAUGGGGAGGAACACCAGUGGCGAAGGCGGCUUUCUGGACGAUGUCUGACACUGAGGCGCGAAAGCCAGGGGAGCGAACGGG